rnacentral:ncRNA from 1 species
GCGAGCGGAGUGACUAGGAAACUGUCACGCUCCGUUCUGGGAGGGGUAGUUGGAAAAGUGCUUAUUUCAAAUAUGUAACUCGCUGGCUACCUACUCUAC